GGCAACGUGGCUGAGUGGUUAUAGCGUACGACUAGAAAUAUAGGAAUCUAUACAAUAAUAUAUCUAUAUCUUGCGAUCGUAUCCCUUCGGGGUCACAGGUUCGAGUCCUGUCGUUGUCG